UAGCGUAGGGGGCAAGCGUUGUCCGGAAUCAUUGGGCGUAAAGCGCGUGUAGGCGGCCAGAUAAGUCCGCUGUGAAAUCUCGAGGCUCAACUUCGAGCUGUCGGUGGAAACUGUCUGGCUAGAGUCCGGAAGAGGAGAAUGGAAUUCCUGGUGUAGCGGUGAAAUGCGCAGAUAUCAGGAGGAACACCGGUGGCGAAGGCGGGUCUCUGGGCCGUAACUGACGCUGAGGAGCGAAAGCGUGGGGAGCGAACAGG
rnacentral:rRNA from 1 species